AUACGGAGGGUGCAAGCGUUACUCGGAAUCACUGGGCGUAAAGGAUGCGUAGGCUGGAUGUCAAGUUGGAAGUGAAAUCCUAUUGCUUAACCAUAGAACUGCUUCCAAAACUGGCAACCUAGAGUGAGGGAGAGGCAGAUGGAAUUAGUGGUGUAGGGGUAAACUCCGUAGAUAUCACUAGGAAUACCGAUUGCGAAGGCGAUCUGCUAGAACUCUACUGACGCUAAGGCAUGAAAGCGUGGGGAGCAAACAGGAUUAGAAACCCGAGUAGUCC
rnacentral:rRNA from 1 species